rnacentral:lncRNA from 1 species
GUAAAAAAAAGUGAAUUUCAGUGUGAAAACAAACCCAUUAGAAUCUAUGAUCAAGCUAUGAAAAAAGCGGAGAACGGUGAAAUAGUGAACUAAAAAGGAGAAUAAAUCUAGGGUUUGUGAUUGGCUGACAGGGGUUUUGGCAAAUAUUAGGGGUGAUGUCAAUCUGGGAUCAGAAUAUCAAAGCUUAUGACUUCAAAAUUCUAAUUUCUUUUCUUUCUUUUUGGUUUUUGGUAAAUUCAAUGAUCUUGGAAUAUGAAAAAUCUUCCAAUAUUUAUAUACUCGAUUAAAUGAAUUAUCAAAUUA